rnacentral:tRNA from 1 species
UAGGGGGUGGUCUAAUGGUAGGACCGCAGGUUUUGGACUUGUGUAUCUGGGUUCGAAUCCUAGCCCCCUAGCAA